rnacentral:lncRNA from 1 species
UCCCAACUCGACGCGCCUCUGAAAGAUCGGAGCCGCCGCCCAGUCUGCCCUCCCUCCCCCCGCCUCCGGUGCCGAAGGGUGAGAGUCUCUCCUUCGCGUCCCCGCCUCCCGUCCUCUGCUCCCGAUUUAGCCUCGUGCUCUCUCGCUCCUAUUUGUGGCGAUCCGUGCCAGAGUGGUGUUAUAUAUAGAUCUGCUCGUUCGGUUGUCCCCUAGAUCCAUUUUCUCCGUUUGUUUUCGCUUGGGAAUUGUUCGUGUGGUGGUCUCGGCCUCUGGGGUUCGUCCAGAUCGGUGCUUCCUGCAUCUGGUAAGGACUGAGAGGCUCACCUGCUGGUCGGUUCAUCUGUGCUUCAGAUCUACCUUGUUUCUUCGUAGAUGUGUGCAUCGCGGGGUUCUCAUGUACUAGCUGGCUCGGAAUCUUGAGAUCUCCGUGGAAUCUUUAGAUCGCGAGGUUAUUGGUUGGUCAGCCGGGGAAGUGGGACAGGGCGAAGAAAAAUAUGGCGCUAUUUUGACUGUUAUUUCGUGAUAGUGACGGUGGCGCGUCAGAUCCGGCUAUGCUGUUUGCACCCGAUGGCGAUCUGACGGCGGCCACCCGUCUCAAUAAUAUCGGUUUAAAUGUGAAAUUUUUUAGACUUGAUCUACCAAUCAUGUGAAAACGAUCUUUGUUAGCAAUCUCCCGGCCGUAGAUCUGUUAUCAGUUCUGUCUUGCGUACAUAAUAGCUGUCGUAUUCCAUGAACACCUUUUUGUGCAGUUUAUUUAGUAGGGAUAUGGGUUUGACUUAUGCUUCAAGCUGUUGAAACCAGUUGUAUCUAAAUGCCCAGUCUCCGUGAACAACUUGUAUUUUGUUACUAUGUAACCUUAGAUCUUUCUGUAUUCAAGGUCUUUAUUGGUACUGCAAACAGCCACCCCCUGUUUAGGGUUCAUCUGUUUUUAAACUACGACUGGAGCAGUCUCCAAACUGUUGAUGCUAUGAUGUUUUUCAGUGCCUAUCAUAGUUUGGUUUGGAGAUCAGGAUAUUCUGCAUUAAUACAGGGUUCCUUCGUUCUUAACUAGAGCAGGCUCCUGAUGCUAUGAUGUUUUCAAUGCUUAUUGUAGUUAGGUUUGGAGAUCAGGAUAGCAUUUGUUAUACGGCUUGGAGGAAUUUGUUACAGUCCAGAACUGUUAGCAUGCUGUAUCUUACUGUCUGUAAUUUUAGUUGCUUGGUUCCUUUGUAUGCAUCUGUUUUACUGCCUGAUAAUUGUUUGUUAGACUUAGGAAACAUAAGUUCAUCUAUGUUUUAUCUCUACAUUGUGCUCUGAAUAUGCUAAUUAACAUGAUGGUAGCAGAUGUUUAAUUUUAAGAGUAAUUGCUUGGUUGAUUUAAAAUUCUGUUUGUGUUUGAAGGGCCUCCACUUUGUCAACGUAUGUUUUGGAACUUAAAAAAAUAUUGCACCUACUGUAAUCUGUUGAAAUGUUUGUGCAGUAGCUAUGCUAGAAACCUUCAGAUCUUUUCUUCAUCAGUCAAAUGUAGGUGAUCCUAUUCUGUUUCUGCUGCUGUGCACUUUCCUAACAUAUCUGCUUGUUGAUGUUAUGGUGCAGGAAAUUGUUUUGAGGUGGUGAUGGCGGACCAGGUCAACCAACCAACUGUCCUUCAUAAGCUCGGUGGCCAGUUCCACCUGAGCUCCAGCUUCUCAGAAGGUGUACGGGCCCGUAACAUCUGCCCUUCUGUCUCGUCUUAUGAGAGGAGAUUUCCCACAAGGAACUACAUGACCCAGAGCCUUUGGGGCCCUUCAAUGUCUGUCAGUGGUGGCAUCAAUGUCCCAGCGGUGUCAUCCUCUCCGCUUUUUGCUAAUGCUCCAGCUGAGAAAGGAGGCAAAAACUUCAUGGUUGAUUUCCUCAUGGGUGGUGUUUCAGCUGCUGUUUCAAAGACUGCUGCUGCUCCCAUUGAGCGUGUCAAGCUGCUUAUUCAGAACCAGGAUGAGAUGAUCAAGGCUGGUAGGCUGUCUGAGCCAUACAAGGGUAUUGGUGACUGCUUCAAACGUACCAUCAAGGAUGAGGGUUUCUCCUCCUUGUGGAGGGGUAACACUGCUAACGUUAUCCGCUACUUCCCUACUCAGGUAGCCCUCGCCUUUCUUCACUUUCCUUAUGCAUGGUAGCAGAGUUUUAUUUUAUUUUCCGUUGUUAGCUGUUGUAUACCGAACAUAUGUUUGUUCGGUACUCCUGUGAUUACUAUCUUUUUUAUAGCAUCCCUUUUUUGUCCUAAGGUUGUUUUAGAAACCAGACCCUUUUUCUCUAGCUGUGUAUAAAGUUAGAAACUAGAUCUGGUUCCUUGAUAAUCCAAUUAUUUUGUUUUCUGUUUUGUUGGUGGGUAAGUUUUAUUUAUAUUCUUACCUUAACAUUUGUUUUUCUUUGUCCUAGGCAUUGAACUUUGCAUUCAAGGACUACUUCAAGAGGCUGUUCAACUUCAAGAAGGACAAGGAUGGUUACUGGAAGUGGUUUGCUGGCAACCUUGCCUCUGGUGGUGCUGCUGGUGCGUCCUCCCUGUUUUUUGUGUACUCCCUGGACUAUGCGAGGACAAGGCUGGCCAAUGACGCAAAGGCAGCCAAGGGAGGAGGUGAUAGGCAAUUCAAUGGUCUUGUGGAUGUCUACCGCAAGACUCUAAAGUCCGAUGGUAUUGCUGGGCUUUACCGUGGGUUCAACAUCUCUUGUGUUGGAAUCAUUGUGU